ACCGUCCCACUGCUCAUAACUGGUCAUCAGUCAUCAGCUGUUGAUUUCCUGCUUCAGGCUGUCUGACUAAAACACAAUUAGGACCCGACAAGUUGCCAGGAAAACUUGAAUGCUUGUCAUUUAUCCAAAGCUUUAAUUUCAAACGUGUUUUUUUUUUUUUGUACUGUUAGCUAGGAAAAAUGUGUAACGUCCGCCAAGUAGAGCAUGGAUGAAGCAAACACAUAAUGUUCCCUCCUACCCUCCAUGAGGUGGUUAGCCUCUGUAAUACAGAACGAAGUGAAACAACAAGAUGAAACAGUUCUGGAACAAUAGUCGUCCUUCAGCUCGGGCCGUGGCUCCAUCGGUCUGGGCCAACGCCGGACAACCACAUGGUGAUUAAUGAGUUUUGGCUCUUUAGCCUUUUAAUUUUUUUUUUAACGAUAAAUAAAUGUCUACUGUUAAUAUGAACACAAUGAUCUGCAGUUAACAACGACAUUAAUAAAAUCCCCACUGUUAAAGGAAAUUCACAGCCUGAAAUAUUUGGUAUUAUUUAUUACCGAAGGCGUUUGACCCAGGUUUACAUGGGCAAUGACAUAUUUGUAAUAGUUGGGGUAGAGUAGUGGUACAGGGGCUGUUUAGACAGUAAUUAAUGGGGGUAGACUUCUGGUCCAGGGGCUGUUUAGACAGUAAUUAAUGGGGGUAGACUAGUGGUCCAGGGGCUGUUUAGACAGUAAUGAAUGGGGGUAGAGUAGGGGUCCAGGGGCUGUUUAGACAGUAAUUAAUGGGGGUAGAGUAGUGGUCCAGGGGCUGUUCAGACAGUAAUUAAUGGGGGUAGACUAGUGGUACAGGGGCUGUUUAGACAGUAAUUAAUGGGGGUAGAGUAGUGGUCCAGGGGCUGUUUAGACAGUAAUUAAUGGGGGUAAACUAGUGGUCCAGGGGCUGUUUAGACAGUAAUUAAUGGGGGUAGACUAGUGGUACAGGGGCUGUUUAGACAGUAAUUAAUGUGGGUAGACUAUUGGUACAGGGGCUCUGUCUGUUUAGACAGUAAUCAAUGUGGGGUAGAUUAGUGGUACAGGGGCUGUUUAGACAGUAAUUAAUGGGGGUAGAGUAGUGGUACAGGGGCUGUUUAGACAGUAAUUAAUGGGGGUAGACUAGUGGUACAGGGGCUGUUUAGACAGUAAUUAAUGGGGGUAGACUAGUGGUCCAGGGGCUGUUUAGACAGUAAUUAAUGGGGGUAGAGUAGUGGUCCAGGGGCUGUUUAGACAGUAAUUAAUGUGGGUAGACUAUUGGUACAGGGGCUCUGUCUGUUUAGACAGUAAUCAAUGUGGGGUAGACUAGUGGUACAGGGGCUGUUUAGACAGUAAUCAAUGGGGGGUAGACUAGUGGUACAGGGGCUGUUUAGACAGUAAUUAAUGGGGGUAGACUAGUGGUACAGGGGCUAUUUAGACAGUAAUUAAUGGGGGUAGACUAGUGGUCCAGGGGCUGUUUAGACAGUAAUUAAUGGGGGUAGAGUAGUGGUCCAGGGGCUGUUUAGACAGUAAUUAAUGUGGGUAGACUAUUGGUACAGGGGCUCUGUCUGUUUAGACAGUAAUCAAUGUGGGGUAGACUAGUGGUACAGGGGCUGUUUAGACAGUAAUCAAUGGGGGGUAGACUAGUGGUACAGGGGCUGUUUAAACAGUAAUUAAUGGGGUAGACUAGUGGUACAGGGGCUGUUUAGACAGUAAUUAAUGGGGGUAGACUAGUGGUACUGGGACUGUUUAGACAGUAAUUAAUGGGGGUAGAGUAGUGGUCCAGGGGCUGUUUAGACAGUAAUUAAUGGGGGUAAACUAGUGGUCCAGGGGCUGUUUAGACAGUAAUUAAUGGGGGUAGACUAGUGGUACAGGGGCUGUUUAGACAGUAAUUAAUGUGGGUAGACUAUUGGUACAGGGGCUCUGUCUGUUUAGACAGUAAUCAAUGUGGGGUAGACUAGUGGUACAGGGGCUGUUUAGACAGUAAUUAAUGUGGGUAGACUAUUGGUACAGGGGCUCUGUCUGUUUAGACAGUAAUCAAUGUGGGGUAGACUAGUGGUACAGGGGCUGUUUAGACAGUAAUUAAUGGGGUAGACUGGUGGUACAGGGGCUGUUUAGAC
rnacentral:lncRNA from 1 species